AAGUCGAACGAAGGCUUCGGCCUUAGUGGCGCACGGGUGAGUAACACGUGGGAACCUGCCUUUCGGUUCGGAAUAACGUCUGGAAACGGACGCUAACACCGGAUGCGUCCUUCGGGAGAAAGUUUACGCCGAGAGAGGGGCCCGCGUCGGAUUAGGUAGUUGGUGUGGUAACGGCGCACCAAGCCGACGAUCCGUAGCUGGUCUGAGAGGAUGAUCAGCCACACUGGGACUGAGACACGGCCCAGACUCCUACGGGAGGCAGCAGUGGGGAAUAUUGGACAAUGGGCGCAAGCCUGAUCCAGCAAUGCCGCGUGAGUGAUGAAGGCCUUAGGGUUGUAAAGCUCUUUCGCACGCGACGAUGAUGACGGUAGCGUGAGAAGAAGCCCCGGCUAACUUCGUGCCAGCAGCCGCGGUAAUACGAAGGGGGCUAGCGUUGUUCGGAAUUACUGGGCGUAAAGGGCGCGUAGGCGGCCUGUUUAGUCAGAAGUGAAAGCCCCGGGCUCAACCUGGGAAUAGCUUUUGAUACUGGCAGGCUUGAGUUCCGGAGAGGAUGGUGGAAUUCCCAGUGUAGAGGUGAAAUUCGUAGAUAUUGGGAAGAACACCGGUGGCGAAGGCG
rnacentral:rRNA from 1 species